AAAAUCAAACAUGGCGGAAUACUGGAAGUUCGAAGCGGACGUUUACACAAAUUUGAACUUUUCUUGUGUUUGGGUAUGAUUUUAUGGAAGACACAUAUUGUGACCCUCGAGACUGUAAAAUUAUUUUGUUCAGUUGAAUAUAUUUUGAGAUCAGCGAACGGGAAAAGUAAGAUUGCCGACCACACCUGCGGAUCAUUGAAAAAUAACAGUCGCCUGCAGUGGCACUGUCUUAGAUAUAACUACUGUUGAAAUAACAACAAUACCGUCUGGUUCACAUUGACAAGAUGGAUUAUAGAAAAGACAGAGAGAAGCGGAGUAGCUUUCUGGAGAAGUUCAAUCCUUAUCGCAAUAAGGAGAA